ACACACAAAAGCUGAAAAAUUAGUCCAAAAAUUAAAUUACAACCUAGUCAACUCCAUAGCUAAGAAUCUUCCUUUUUUUUUCCUUUAAAGGUCACCAUUCACAAUUACUGUUCAUGGGUGCAGGGGUGAGGAUGACUGUAUUUAGGUGCAAUUGUUUAAAUUUAUGCUCUUCAUAAAAGCAAGUGUCUCACUCUGACAAGGGUUGUAACCCUCAUGCAUUUCCUACAGCUCUAGCUGAAUUGGAACUAUUAGGUCCCGUUCACUUACACCUUCUCAGAGAAGAUUCCAUUUCCCAAUUAUUGGAACAUUGAGUCAAAUAAAAGCAAAUGUUGUUAAAGAAAACAACAUGGAAAGAGUCUUUCGAUAUCUAAAGAAAGCUGGGGAUUGAUCGAAACUAAGUAGUUGAAAAUGCAUCUCUAUCCAUGACUUGAACCACAAAGGUGGUGGGAGGCGGGGUAAAGGAAAGAGGGAUAGGAACUUGGAGCAGGGGCAAGAAAGAGAGAAAAUUUAUUGAAGUAGAGAAAGAUAAUUGGUAUCUGGAAUUUCCUCUGCAAUUUAAGGCUGUCAGGCCAGCAUCUUGCACAUCUUCCCACAUUGAACACAUCGCUAUUACGGAAGCAGAGCUCUAUUCUAGGAUAGAUUAAAGAGCUGAUAGGUGAAACCAGCUGCAGAGAGCAUCUGUUUUGUUUUUGUUUUUGUUUUUAUUUUUUUUUUAUUUCAGAGCAGGAGUCCUUGCAGAACUAGAAAAAUACAGAUUCCAGAGUUCUUAGGAGGUUGUAGUCUAGGAGGGAGUUUUCACAACCUUCCAAUCUUUAAAGUGCACUGAGCUCAAUGAAUCCCCAUGAGUCCUUCCAACACGUGACUUGCCAUAGCAACUUUAUCUUCCAAAAUAUUACUGGGGUGAAAAGACCUGGAGCACAGCUUCACUUUUACCCAAGGUAUUUCCUAUUCAUUGCCUUAUUAUUUGACUAACGCCUGGGUGGCUAUGUUUGCAGAUCCUGUCUUCUAGGCUACCGUGAGGAGUUGCUCCAUUACUUAUUUCCUAAAUGAAUAGAACUACCUCUUCUCAGUCAUCACAGCCUAAGCAAAUGGUUUGAAAUGAUAAACCUGCCAAACAGCUUGUGGUCACACAGCUGACUUGUAGAAUCUUUAGGAGCUUUGAUUAGUAUGACUUGUGGGGGUGUUGGAAAAAGAGAAGUCACUUAGGAUAACAUUUGUUAAGAAUCAGUGGUAUGUCCUAUGCAGCCAUGAAAAAAGAUGAGUUCAUGUCCUUUGCAGGGACAUGGAUGAAGCUGGAAACCAUCAUUCUCAGCAAACUAACACAGGAACAGAAAACCAAACACCACAUUUUCUCACGCAUAAGUGGGAGCCGCACAAUAAGAACACAUGUACACAGGGAGGGGAACAUCAUACACUGGGGUCUGUCGGGGGUGGGGGGCUAGGGGAGGGAUAGCAUUAGGAGAAAUACCUAAGGUAGAUGAUGGGUUCAUGGGUGCAGCAAACCACAAUGGCACAUGUAUAUCUAUGUAACAAACCUGCACGUUCUGCACAUGUAUCCCAGAACUUAAAGUAUAAUUUAAAAAAAAGAAAGGAAAAUAAAUCAUUAUGUGAAAAAAAAAUCAGUAGUAUGUCAAGAAAUUUAAUUUCAGUAUAUUUUCAUAAUAACCCUGCAAAGAAAACCUGGUUAUUCCCCUUUUUCAUUGAGGAAACAUAAGACUUCUCAAGAAUCUCCAACGUUCUUGGCUAGGCUCGAGGGGGCAGAACUCAGUUGUCUUUGACUCCAAAAACUCACGAACCACAGAAAGUGCAUCAACCUUUUUUUUUUUUUUUUUUUUUUUCAAAGCGGAGUCUAUCUCUGUCACCCAGGCUGAAGUGUAGUGGCGCGAUCUCGGCUCACUACAACCUCUGCCUCCCAGAUUCAAACAAUUUUCCUGCCUCAGCCUCCCGAGUAGCUGAGAUUACAGGCGCCUGUGACAAUGCCCAGCUAAAUUUUGUAUUAUUAGUAGAGAUGAUGGGGUUUCACCAUGUUGACCAGGCUGGUCUCAAACUCCUGACCUCAGGUGAUCUGCCUGCCUCAGCCUCCCUAAAUGCUGGAAUUACAGGUGUGAGCCACCGCGCCCGGCCAAGUGCGUCAACUUUUAAAGCUGCGUUACCUCCUUCUGAAAGCCCAUUUGAACAGUGAACUUUUAUGGUAUGAAGAGUGUAUUCCUAUACGCCAAUAUGUUAGAAGAUUCUGUGGAUUAGUAGCAGUGCUUUUUAAGCUUUUUUGUUCAUGGUGCAAAUAAGGAAUGAAUUUUAUAUUAGGACCCUGUACACACAUACCUAUUCUAUGUCUAUAAAAGUACAUUUGUAACUGAAAACCACUCACAAAACAAUACCUUCUUUUAUAUGUGAAAAGCAUUCUGAUAUGUUCUAGUGUAUUUUCAGACUAUGUAUAAUACUAGAACAGUGGUUUUGAGUACUCAUUAUGGAGCAAAACCAGCUGGGAUCAUAUGUGCAUGCAGAUACUUGACAAUCGUUGUAGGAACUUGGAAAAGCAACUUAACCUAUAAAAACAAUUAUACCUCAAAAGGUUGUCAUGAAGAUUAAAUAAAUAUUAUGUGAAAAUCACUGACAUAAAAAGUACCCAACAAAUGUUGGCUCUUACUCUGUUAGGACCUCAGCACAGGGCCUAGAUGGAGCAGCUUUACAAUGACUGACACAUAAAAGCACCACAAAAAGGUUUGCUGUUUGUGAUGCUGUGUACUUAUUAUGUCUACUAAGUGUAGGGCAAUGUGAUAGGAUGUAUAAACAAAAGAAAUUGGAUAAUAUUUACAUAGAUGAGCAAAAGGAAUGGGACAUCACACAACAUAAACAAUUUUGUGGAGACAGAUUUUUUUUUUUUAAAUCUGAGAUCAGAUUCUUAGUCAUUUCCUUUUAUAAUUUAAUAUAAAAAUAAAUAUGGUAUAUGUAUUUGUCUAGUCCCUUAUUUGAGGCUACUUCUCCCACUAGACUGUAAACCUUUUUAGGGCCAAGACUGUGUCUGUUAACCCACCACUGUAUUUUCUUGGCCUGUAGCCAUAUCUUUGACGUAGAAAUCAUUCAAAUUACUACUUACGGCCGGGCACGGUGGCUCACGCCUGUGAUCCCAGCACUUUGGGAGGCUGAGGAGGGUGGAUCACAAGGUCAGGAGAUUGAGACCAUCUUGGCUAACAUGGUGAAACCCCUUCUCUACUAAAAAUACAAAAAAUUAGCCGGGCGUGGUGGCGGGUUUCAUGCGCGUCCCUGUGAAGAGACCACCAAACAGGCUUUGUGUGAGCAAUAAAGCUUUUAAUCACCUGGGUGCAGGCGGGCUGAGUCUGAAAAGAGAGUCAGCGAAGGGAGAUAAGGGUGGGGCCGUUUUAUAGGAUUUGGGAAGGUAAAGGAAAAUUACAGUCAAAGAGGGUUUGUUCUCUGGCGGGCAGGAGUGGGGGUGGCAAGGUGCUCAGUGGGGGUGCUUUUUGAGCCAGGAUGAGCCAGGGAAAGGACUUUCACAAGGUAAUGUCAUCACUUAAGGCAAGGACUGGCCAUUUACACUUCUUUUGUGGUAGAAUGUCAUCAGCUAAGGUGAGGCAGGGCAUAUUCACUUCUUUUGUGAUUCUUCAGUUACUUCAGGCCAUCUGGGCGUAUACGUGCAAGUCACAGGGGAUGCGAUGGCUUGGCUUGGGCUCAGAGGCCUGACAUUCCUGCCUUCUUAUAUUAAUAAGAAAAAUAAAACAAAAUAGUGUUGAAGUGUUGGGGUGGCAAAAAUUUUUGGGGGGUGAUAUGGAGAGAGAGAAUGGGCGAUGUUUCUCAGGGCUGCUUCAAGCGGCAUUAGGGUCGGCGUGGGAACCUAGAGUGGGAGAGAUUAAGAUUUUAGUUUCCUGACUCCGGACAUGUUGAGUAAAGCUAAUUUGCCAGUCCUGGGUGGGGGCAAAUCCUCGAGCUUGAUGUGUAGGGAAGGGAGGGGGCCUGAAUAAUCCCUGAGGAAUAGUAGAAUAGCAGAUGGAACACUGAGAAAUUAUUUCCUUGAGGAUAGAUUUCCACGAUGGAAAGGAAAUGAGAGGUUCUGAGAGGCGGGCUAGUGGCUUGUACUAUAGCAUAGCCUGCCUUUGCUGGUGUGUGGCGAUUAGGCCUGGUGGAACUGCCAUCAAUAAAUCAAGCGUGAUCAGGGUGAGGAACAGGAAAGAAGGAAAUAUGGGGAAAUGGGGUGAAUGUCAGGUGGAUCAGAGAGAUACAGUCAUGGGGGUCAGGUGUGGUAUCAGGAAUAAUGUAGGAGGCCAGAUUGAAGUCUGGGCCAGGAACAACGGUAAUUGUGGGAGACUCAACAAAGAGUGAGUACAGCUGAAGGAGCCGGGAAGCAGAAAGUAUAUGCGUCAGGUAUGAGGAAGAAAAUAGAUUUUGGAAGUUAUGAGAACUGUAGAGAGUGAGUUGAGCAUAGUUUGUGAUUUUGAGGGCCUCUAAAAGUAUUAAAGCAGCGGCAGCCGCUGCACGCAGACAUGAGGGCUAGGCUAAAACAGUAAGGUCAAGCUGUUUGGACAGAAAGGCUACAGGGUAUGGUCCUGGCUCUUGUGUAAGAAUUCUGACCGCGCUAACCAUGCCUAGGAAGGAAAGGAGUUGUUGUUUUGUAGAAGGUGCUGGGGUUUGAGAGAUCAGUCGGACACGAUUGGCAGGGAGAGCACGUGUGUUUUUAUGAGAAUUAUGCCGAGAUAGGUAACAGAUGAGGAAGAAAUUUGGGCUUGAUUGAAGUAAUGGGGGCUGUCUGUGAAGCUUUGCAGCAGUACAGCCUAGGUAAUUUGCUGAGCUUGAUGGGUGUCAGGGUCAGUCCAAGUGAAAGUGAAGAGAGGCUGGGAUUAAGGGUGCAAAGGAAUAGUAAAGAAAGCAUGUUUGAGAUCUAGAACAGAAUAAUGGGUUGUAGAGGCUGGUAUUGAGGAUAGGAGAGUAUAUGGGUUUGGCACCACGGGGUGGAUAGGCAAAACAAUUUGGUUGAUAAGGCGCAGAUCCUGAACUAACUUGUAAGGCUUGUCUGGUUUUAGGACAGGUAAAGUGGGGGAAUUGUAAGGAGAGUUUAUAGGCUUUAAAAGGCCAUACUGUAGCAGGCAAGUGAUAACAGGCUUUAAUCUUUUUAAAGCAUGCUGCGGGAUGGGAUAUUGGCAUUGAGUGGGGUAAGGGUGAUUAGGUUUUAAUGAGAUGGUAAGGGGUGCAUGAUCGGUCACCAAGGAGGGAGUAGAGGUAUCUUAUACUUGUGGGUUAAGGUGGGGGGAUAUAAGAGGAGGACGCAAAGGAGGCUUUGGAUUGGGAAGAAGGGCGGCAAUGAGAUAUAGCUGUAGUCCAGGAUAGUCAGGGAAGCAGAUAAUUUAGUUAAAGUGUCUCAGCCUAAUAAGGGAACUGCGCAGGUGGGGAUAACUAAAAAGGAGUGCUUAAAAGAGUGUUGUCUAAGUUGGCACCAGAGUUGGGGAGUUUUAAGAGGUUUAGAAGCCUGGCCGUCAAUACCCACAACAGUUACGGAGGCAAGGGAAACAGGCCCUUGAAAAGAAGGUAAUGUGGAGUGGGUAGCCUCCAUAUUGAUUGAGAAGGGGACGGGCUUACCUUCCACUGUGAGAGUUACCCGAAGCUCGGCGUCCGUGAUGGUCUGGGGGCUUCCGAGGCGAUUGGGCAGUGUCAGUCUUCAGCCGCUAAGCCGAGAAGAUCUGGGAAGGAGUCAGUCAGAGAGCCUUGGGCCAGAGUUCCAGGGCCUCUGGGAGUGGCUGCCAGGUGAGUUGAACAGUCCGAUUUUCAGUGGGGUCCCACACAGAUGGGACGCAGCUUAGGAGGAACCCUGGGCUGUGGGCAUUCCUUGGCUUGGUGGUCAGAUUUCUGGCACUUGUAGCAAGCUCCUGUGGGAGGAGGUUCUAGAGGAACGCCUGGCCACUGCAGUUCAGGCGUUUAGAAGUUCUUGUGUGCUGGAGAUGUGGCUGGGGUUUGUCUCACAGUGGAGGCAAGGAAUUGCAACUUUUUUCUAUUAUUGUACACCUUGAAGGCGAGGUUAAUUAAAUCCUGUUGUGGGGUUUGAGGGCUGGAAUUUAAUAUUUGGAGUUUUAAUGUCAGGAGCAGAUUGGGUAAUAAAAUGUAUUUUGAGAAUAAGACGGCCUUUUGACUUUUUAGGGUCUAGGGCUGUAAAGCGUCUCAGGGUUGCUGGGGAACGAGCCAUGAACUGGGCUGGGUUUUUAUAUUUGAUGAAAAAGAGCCUAAACGCUAUCUGAUUUGGGAUAAAGAAAAAGGAGCAUUAACCUUGGCUAUGCCUUUGGCUCCAGCCACCUUUUAAGAGUAAAUUGCUGGGCAGGUGGGGGAGGACUAGUCACAGAACGAAACUGUAAGUCGGACCAGGUGUGAGGAGGGGAGGUGAUAAAAAGAUUAUAGGGUGGAGGAGCGGAGGCUGAGGAAGAAUUGGGACCUAGCUCUGCCUGGCGAGGAGCAGGCUGGGGAGGAAGGGAGAGGUCAGAUGGGUCUGUAGAAAAGGAAGAUUAGAAAGACUCAGCGACGCUUGGGGUUGGGACUGAGGGGACAGGCGGGAGGGAAAGAAGGAAGAUUUGGGACGAGUUGCACUGGGCACAGAGACCAGGACGGGACUGAUGUGUAAAAGAAUGCCUGGACGUCAGGCACCUCAGACCGUUUGCCUAUUUUAUGACAAGAAUUAUUUAGAUCUUGCAGGAUGGAAAAAUUCAAAGUGCCAUUUUCUGGCUAUUUGGAACUACUGUCGAGUUUGUAUUGGGGUCAAGUGGCAUUGCAGAAGAAAAUAAGGCAUUUAGGUUUUAGGUCACGUGUGAGUUGAAGAGGUUUUAAGUUUUUGAGAACACAGGCUAAGGGAGAAGAAGGAGGAAUGGAAGGUGGAAGCUUAUCCAUAGUGAAGGGGCAAGCCCAGAGAAAAGAGUAGAGACACGGAGAAGGGGUGGGGGGUUCUUGCCCUCCAGAAAAGCAGAGAAGCGGUUGGGGCACGGAAAUAAGGGAUUGGGGCACAGAGGUAAGAGGUCAGGGUGCGGAAAUAAGGGAUUGGAGCACAGAGAUAAGAGGUUGGGGUGCGGAAAUAAGCGAUUGGGGGGUUCUUGCCCCCUAGGGAAGCGGGACUUGCCGCUAAGGGUGAAGGAGAAGGGGUUGAGGGGUACUUGCCCCUGCCCCAGGAAAGCAGAGAAGGGGUAGAGACAAGGAGAGAAGGGGUUGAGGUACUUGCCCCUUCCCCAGAAAAGUGGGACUUGCCGCUAAGGGUGAAGGAGAAGGGGUUGAGGGGUUCUUGCCCCUGCCUCAGGAAAGCAGAGAAGGGGUAGAGACAAGGAGAGAAGGGGUUGAGGUACUUGCCUCUUCCCCAGAAAAGUGGGACUUGCCGCUAAGGGUAAAGGACCAAGGCAGGUGUCCCUGCGUGGUCUGACACCCUUGAAAUGUGGGUGUAUAAUCAGAGAGGUGUCCCUGCAAUGAUUAAACACCAAGGGAAGGCUGCCUUCCCAGUCUGUGACCGGCGCCGGAGUUUUGGGUCCACGGAUAAAACGUGUCUCCUUUGUCUCUCCCAGAAAAUGAAAGGAAUUGAAAUUAAGAGAAGGGAGAGAUUGAAGAGUGGAAAGAAGAAAGUGGUUGAGGGACAGUGAGAGAGGUUGGAGAAGAGAGUAAGAAGAGGCCGCUUACCUGAUUUAAAAUUGGUGAGAUGUUCCUUGGGCUGGUCCGGUCUGAGGACCUGAGGUCAUAGGUGGAUCUUUCUCACGGAGCAAAGAACAGGAGGACAGGGGAUUGAUCUCCUAAGGGAGGUCCCCCGAUCUGAGUCGCGGCACCAAAUUUCAUGCGCGUCCCUGUGAAGAGACCACCAAACAGGCUUUGUGUGAGCAAUAAAGCUUUUAAUCACCUGGGUGCAGGUGGGCUGAGUCCGAAAAGAGAGUCAGCGAAGGGAGAUAAGGUUGGGGCCAUUUUAUAGGAUUUGGGAAGGUAAAGGAAAAUUACAGUCAAAGAGGGUUUGUUCUCUGGCGGGCAGGAGUGGGGGUCGCAAGGUGCUCAGUGGGGGUGCUUUUUGAGCCAGGAUGAGCCAGGUAAAGGACUUUCACAAGGUAAUGUCAUCACUUAAGGCAAGGACCGG
rnacentral:lncRNA from 1 species